AUGGACCUGAUAUCAGGUAAGAUAGCC
rnacentral:rRNA from 1 species